rnacentral:lncRNA from 1 species
GCCAUCUUCAUCAUCGGUGACUUCGCCGCAGGUAAGAUGGCCGUCAUUUUAUUUUCUUUCAUUUCUAUUUUUGUAGCUUUGCUAUGUCAUCUGUUUCACCCGAUAUGAAUUGAAACAAAUCAAAAGAUUUGAAUCAUAUACACAAGUCAUCUUUAAAUACUUAUCGAGUGUUUUGUAUUUAGAUCUCACUGAAGUUCACUCCAGCCUUGUAACUUUCCUAUCACAAGUCAAGUGAAGUUAAAUCUACCAGAUCUGAAGCAUUUUAAGGUAUAUAUAUGCAUCUUACUAAGUCAAGUGAAGUUAUAUCUACCAGAUUUGAAGCAUUCUAAGGUAUGCAUCUUACUACUUUCGUUUAAUUUCUAUAAUGGAAUGAAUCUCUGGUGAGAUUGAUCCCACCUUCAAUAGUUUUCACAUGAUUGUAUCAGGUUUUAUCCGUACCCCAC